GUAGGUUUGAUUAUGGUUUUUGGAGAAUUCGGUGUAGUGCUAGGAAGCCAAAUUCUACCAAUAGGAACGAACUUUUCGUGUAUUUCGAGUUUUUGGAUUGUCACAUUACUUCACGUGGCUAUUAUUCCACUGAUGAUUGUUUUUGCGAGACAACCAAAUCCUUACGAAGAGAAUGAAAGAAGAUUAUCAGAGGAAGCCGAAGCAUUACGUUACCUAAUGGAGCCUAGCACCUAAAUAAUACGAACAUGGAUUAAGGAUACGAUUAGAAAUUAGAAAUUUUUAAUGCUCGUAUUUCGAGAAACAGUAGAAAACUGAGAAAAAUGUACUGAUCUUUUUUGUUUCAUAAGUGUUUUAAUACUCAAUUUUUAUGCUGGUUCAUUUUUUGUUGAAAAAGUAGGUACUAUUUGCUGCGGGCGUCUCUUUUAAUAAUACAUGGAAUUUUUUACGAAUUGAAUGCCGAAUACUGGCGUAGAUAUGUUGUGUGUACUUUAAUAUAUUGUUAUAAUUUUUUGUAAGUAAAUUAUAAAAUAGCAAA